CGUAGAGUUCUUCCAGGUCUUCAGGAAGAAUGGAGACUUCUGGGAUAACAACGCGGAGCUUGAGAAAACAACCAACAACAGUGGAGAGGUGCUGGACCACAGGCGAAAUGCAGAUUCCAAUGGGCCACAGAAAAGGAAGACAGCAGGUAACUCACUCCACCUUUUCGGCAGAAUGGUACAGAGAUUACACCUGUCGGUUCUGCACAUUCAAGAGCCAAACAGCGUUUGUACUGGGGAUUUCUGGACAAGGACUGACGGCACGUCUUUGCCCCGGCUCUGGCCCUGCUCCCCAAGCACAGAAGAGGAAGAGGAGGAGGAAGGAGACAGGUUACCA